rnacentral:rRNA from 1 species
AGUGAACGCUGGCGGUAGGCCUAACACAUGCAAGUCGAACGGCAGCACAGUAAGAGCUUGCUCUUACGGGUGGCGAGUGGCGGACGGGUGAGGAAUACAUCGGAAUCUACUUUUUCGUGGGGGAUAACGUAGGGAAACUUACGCUAAUACCGCAUACGACCUACGGGUGAAAGCAGGGGAUCUUCGGACCUUACGCGAUUGAAUGAGCCGAUGUCGGAUUAGCUAGUUGGCGGGGUAAAGGCCCACCAAGGCGACGAUCCGUAGCUGGUCUGAGAGGAUGAUCAGCCACACUGGAACUGAGACACGGUCCAGACUCCUACGGGAGGCAGCAGUGGGGAAUAUUGGACAAUGGGCGCAAGCCUGAUCCAGCCAUACCGCGUGGGUGAAGAAGGCCUUCGGGUUGUAAAGCCCUUUUGUUGGGAAAGAGAAGCAGCAGGUUAAUACCCCGCUGUUCUGACGGUACCCAAAGAAUAAGCACCGGCUAACUUCGUG